rnacentral:lncRNA from 1 species
GUCGUCCGCUAAAUCGACUGAAUGCAAUGCAGUUCGAAUUCUAACUCGUGAGGAAUUCGCAGCUAAGCAUCCUUACCCACCCUCCCAUUUCUAUGAUAAAAUCGAUUGAUCGGUUGAGCCAACCAUCGAUCGACAGAGUGAGUCCGACGUCGAUCGUCACAACACACCUCCCAUCGAUCGACAGGAUCGGUUGAGCAAACCCUCGAUCGACAGAGUGAGUCCGACGUCGAUUUUCACAACACACCUCCCAUCGAUCGACAUGCACCUCUGACAUACCGAGUGCGGUUACCCUCAAUCGAUAAUGACUAUAUCAACGCACUCAAACCACCACCUAAACCAUUAGCUAGCCCACC